UAGGGAAUCUUCGGCAAUGGGGGGAACCCUGACCGAGCAACGCCGCGUGAGUGAAGAAGGUUUUCGGAUCGUAAAGCUCUGUUGUUAGGGAAGAAUAAAUGUGUAAGUAACUAUGCACGUCUUGACGGUACCUAAUCAGAAAGCCACGGCUAACUACGUGCCAGCAGCCGCGGUAAUACGUAGGUGGCAAGCGUUAUCCGGAAUUAUUGGGCGUAAAGCGCGCGUAGGCGGUUUUUUAAGUCUGAUGUGAAAGCCCACGGCUCAACCGUGGAGGGUCAUUGGAAACGGGAAGACUUGAGUGCAGAAGAGGAAAGUGGAAUUCCAGGUGUAGCGGUGAAAUGCGUAGAUAUAUGGAGGAACACCGGUGGCGAAGGCGGCUCUCUGGUCUGUAACUGACGCUGAGGCUCGAAAGCGUGGGGAGCGAAAAGG
rnacentral:rRNA from 1 species